rnacentral:rRNA from 1 species
UCUGGAACGGAUAAGCGCUGAAAGCAUCUAAGCGCGAAGCCGACCUCAAGAUGAGUUCUCCCACCCCGCAAGGGGGUAAGACCCCAGCGAGAAUAGCUGGUAGAUAGGCCGGGGGUGUAAGUGCAGUAAUGCAUUCAGCCGACCGGUACUAAUAGGUCGAGGGCUUGACCAG